rnacentral:rRNA from 1 species
GACGAACGCUGGCGGCGUGCUUAACACAUGCAAGUCGAACGGAAAGGCCCUGCUUUUGUGGGGUGCUCGAGUGGCGAACGGGUGAGUAACACGUGAGUAACCUGCCCUUGACUUUGGGAUAACUUCAGGAAACUGGGGCUAAUACCGGAUAGGAGCUCCUGCUGCAUGGUGGGGGUUGGAAAGUUUCGGCGGUUGGGGAUGGACUCGCGGCUUAUCAGCUUGUUGGUGGGGUAGUGGCUUACCAAGGCUUUGACGGGUAGCCGGCCUGAGAGGGUGACCGGCCACAUGGGGACUGAGAUACGGCCCAGACUCCUACGGGAGGCAGCGGUGGGGAAUAUUGCACAAUGGGCGGAAGCCUGAUGCAGCAACGCCGCGUGCGGGAUGACGGCCUUCGGGUUGUAAACCUCUUUCGCCUGUGACGAAGCGUGAGUGACGGUAAUGGGUAAAGAAGCACCGGCUAACUACGU